AUUCUCAGGCGCUUGAGAGAACCCAGGUGAAGGAACUCGGCAAAUUAGCACCGUAACUUCGGGAGAAGGUGCGCCCCGGUAGAUUGUAGUGGCUUGCCCACGAAGGUCGAUGGGGUUGCAGUGAAAAGGUGGCUGCGACUGUUUAACAAAAACACAGCACUCUGCAAACACGAAAGUGGACGUAUAGGGUGUGACUCCUGCCCGGUGCCGGAAGGUUAAUUGAUGGGGUGCAAGCUCUUGAUCGAAGCCCCGGUAAACGGCGGCCGUAACAAUAACGGUCCUAAGGUAGCGAAAUUCCUUGUCGGGUAAGUUCCGACCCGCACGAAUGGAGUAACGAUGGCCACACUGUCUCCACCUGGGACUCAGCGAAAUUGAAAUGGUUGUGAAGAUGCAAUCUACCCGCGGCUAGACGGAAAGACCCCGUGCACCUUUACUGUAGCUUUACAUUGGACUUUGACAAGACGUGUGUAGGAUAGGUGGGAGACUAUGAAGUGGGAACGCUAGUUCUCAUGGAGUCAACCUUGAAAUACCACCCUCGUGUUGUUGAGGUUCUAACCUUGGUCCAUCAUCUGGAUUGGGGACAGUGUAUGGUAGGCAGUUUGACUGGGGCGGUCUCCUCCCAAAGAGUAACGGAGGAGUUCGAAGGUAUCCUAGAUACGGUCGGAAAUCGUAUUGAUAGUGCAAUGGCAUAAGGAUGCUUGACUGCGAGACUGACACGUCGAGCAGGUGCGAAAGCAGGACAUAGUGAUCCGGUGGUUCUGUAUGGAAGGGCCAUCGCUCAACGGAUAAAAGGUACGCCGGGGAUAACAGGCUGAUACCGCCCAAGAGUUCAUAUCGACGGCGGUGUUUGGCACCUCGAUGUCGGCUCAUCACAUCCUGGGGCUGUAGCCGGUCCCAAGGGUAUGGCUGUUCGCCAUUUAAAGUGGUACGUGAGCUGGGUUCAAAACGUCGUGAGACAGUUUGGUCCCUAUCUACCGUGGGCGCUGGAAGUUUGAGGGGGGCUGCUUCUAGUACGAGAGGACCGAAGUGGACGCACCUCUGGUGUACCGGUUGUCACGCCAGUGGCAUAGCCGGGUAGCUAUGUGCGGAAAAGAUAAUCGCUGAAAGCAUCUAAGCGAGAAACUUGCCUCAAGAUAAGACUUCCCUGGAGACUUGAUCUCCCUAAAGGGUCGUUGCAGACUACAACGUUGAUAGGCUGGGUGUGUAAGCGCAGUAAUGCGUUGAGCUAACCAGUACUAAUUGCCCGUGAGGCUUGAUCCU
rnacentral:rRNA from 1 species